CCUCGGGAAUGGGCGUAACCUAGGUUCCCUUUGGUGCGAGGACAUUUUACCAUCAGUUCAUUCCUGCAGGGAAGGAAUUUAAGCGGGGGUUAGUCCACCUAAAUGGCCUUCAGUCUUUUGAAGAUUUUUAGACUAUGGCAGACUCGAGACAGGGAUACAUAAUGUAGUUAGUGUCGGUUAGAACCAGCCGCCCACCCGGGUAGCCCAGUUGGUUAGAGCGCCAUGCUAGUGUUCCGGCGGUCGUGGGUUCGAGCCCCACACCGGGCGCACUUUUCCUCCCAGGAGAUAAACAGAAACACAGAGGUGCUAUACUUUCUGAUGGAAAAGACAACAAAAGCAUCUCCCAUCAUUUUGGCGUGGCUCAGAUCAAGAGGAGAAAUUUAAAAAAGGUGAUGAUUGGGCACAAACAAGAAGACAUAGAUCACAGGCGUAUAGCAUAUGAGUAGACAGGAGUUUCACACUCUGCCAGACUUACUUCCUCAGACAAGCAGAUUUAGGCUUCUCAAGAUCACGCACUGCACACUAAGACAUAGUCUUUGACUACAACAAGGCCUUAGGGGAUGAAAGUACAGAGAGGUCCAAUUGAAAUCAAUUCUGUGCUGCGUCAUUUCUUUAUUCUAGAGGUUGAUGGACAUGAUUUAUGGCAUCAAGUGUGCAGUUUGUCAACUAACUAUCAACACAGCAGCCUUGUUCACCAGCUGCUCAACUUGAGCUUUUAGCUUUAUUGCUUGAAGCCACUGUAUAAGAGGAGGGAAGGUGCAGACUCAUCAAAAAGUCUCAAGGUUGAAACUAGGAAGAGAAGUUUGUCAAGAGUGUGAAUAUUUGCUUUGAAAACAAUUGUUACAAUGAUUUGGUUUCCUUUGAAACUUGAUACAUACUAUGUGUAUGUUGAAUGAAUUGAGAUGCUUAAAUAAAGAACCACUAUUCAAAUAUCAGGAAACUGCAUUUUUCAUACUAAAUUGGUAAAUGAUGUCACCAUUUCCUGUAUGUAUUUAGAUAAGAUAUGUUUCCACAAUUAAUAUUUUUAGGGACUAUUUCUCAACGUAAUGAAAUAGAUUAAAUUUGUACAGCGUUAUAUGAGCUUAAUAUGUGUUUUCUGUUUCCUUAAAAUUGAUGAAAAAUUGUCAGAAGGUAAUGAGACCAGUAUCCAUUACUGCAAUCAUACAAUAAAAAAUACAGGGACAAGCCCACUGC